UAGAAGUAUGAGGUUGUAAGUAAUUACUUGCAUCUAAAGGCCAUAUGUAUGACUUAGGGAUAAGAAUUCCAGAUGCAAAUGUCUUGAUGAAAGUAAAGUUCUUUGAGAGAGAACCAUAUGUCUCAUUUGUUGAUGGCUCGAUGACAUUUGAUUCCAGAAACCGGAAGACCAGUUUUGUUAUAUUUAGGUUAAAUCUCUUAACAAUACUUCUCAAGAAACCCGCUUCUGGUGAUGAGAGAUGAUUAAUGACAACCCUUCUGUAUAGAGACAGUACAUAGCUUCUCAUACUCAAAUUGUGCUGUGUGAAGAAUGCAUCAUGCUGCAAAAGUAUCAGAACAAAAAGAUUUGGUUGAAAUAAUAGAUGGUAGUGCACGUUCCACUGAAUUAAAGGGAAGGGAAGAACAGAAACAACAGUAAAGAAGGCUUCAUGUUAAUAAGUUCAUAGAAGGUACUGGUGUAAGAUAAAACAGAAAUUAUAUUGCUUCUCUACCUGAAUAUUCAACCAUAAGCCUGGUGGUUUUAAGGUAGCCACAUCCUCAACAGUUUGGAUGGGAUAAAUGUAAUCAAACCUUUCACUCCGAGAAAAGAUUCCCUGAUUCACUGUCAAGGAAAAACAAUGUCAGAAUCAGAAGUUCAAGGCAGGAAUUGAGAAGUUAAGAAACAGUUGAUCCACACAGACUGGUAUGCUAAGAAAAUUUUCAUAGUCAAUCUCAUGAAGAUCAAUUUAGAUAAAAUCUCCUUCAGAGACUAAUGAGCAGGUCCCUAUCAGUAAAAUCUGAAGAUCAACAAUGGGAUAUCCAAAUCCAAAAACAAAACAACCCCCCAUUGGUUUUUUCUUCAAAUAUUUGAUUGAAGUAUCCUAUCUGCAAUAAAACUCUCAGUGUCUCUAAAUGACCUGAUGUUAUUAACUGUCUUUCAUGCUUGACCAUUACUAUCACUUAUACAUCAAGCAAACUUCACAAACAGAAGGACUAUAACAACAACAAUAAAUAAUAAGAAUGGAGAAUAAACAGCUUGUACUUUUGUGUUAUUCUUAUGCAAAUAAAAGGGGUAAGGUCUUGAGUUUGACUCCCGCCUUUGUCAAUUCAUUGCUAAUUUCAACAAAAAAUGAAAAGAAGGAAAUGGCAGCUGAUUCACUUGAUUCAUGCAAAUUUUUAGCAAUCAACAAUAAGAAAAUCUGGAUAUUUCAAAUGAUCACUUCAUGUAAUAAUAAUACUUUACAAGAAGUAUAGAAAUAAACAGGCUACCAAAAAAUGACCAAUAACCAUAUGAAGCAAGUUGUUGAAGUCUUAGCCAAACUCACAGGAUACAAGUGACAAUUCAUUGAGAGUGAAAUCCACUGUGAACCAUCCUCGGGUAGGAAUUCCAUUAACUAGGUACAACUUAUCCUUAUUUUGCAUAACUUGUGCAAUGCUAGUAGAAUUGUCAAGCCUGAGAUCAGGGGCACAAAUCCCCACACUAUCUUUAGUUAACUGCACAUCACACCAUAGGACAACACCCGGCAAACUUGUAAGUGUUGCAAACUGGAAAGCAUCUGAGCUAGAAUCAGGAAAUAAUCCUGAAAACCCGCCACGUGCUAUGACUAAAGGGGGAUUUCCUGCAGAAUGAAAUUAAUUAGUGAGCUUUUUUCAUUAUAAGGUCGAUUGACUCUACUCAAAUGUGUUAUAGGGUCAUAUUUUUAUCCAUGCAAAUUUACUGCAACACAGAUUGCAAGUUCACUAACCAAAAAUUGUUAUUGCAACACAAAUUACAUCAAAUUAUUUUGUGAGCAUAUAAGAAUUAGUUAAGUUGCAAGUUCAACAUUUUUUGGGUAUUCAUAAUAGAAAUAUUUUGGAAAGCACCAAGAAUCUUAUGAGUAGCCAUUUUUCUUGAAAGAAUUUUAUUGACCAACAUUCUUUUUUGUCAAUUUUCUCAACAAACUCAGAUUUAUAGAAACCUCCGGUUUUUGGAAAGCCAGGUUCAAGCAAAUUAACUAUCACAUAAAACAAUUGACUUAUCAGAACUUAGAGUGUGGGGAAAUGUAAAAAGAAAAAUGAAAAACCACCCACAACACCAAUAUCCAAAAGCCUGUAAUUCAUGAAAAAGAAAUGCAUGCACUUUUUUUUUUGUGUAUAAUGAACUGAACUGGUAGGAAUUUCAUAUAAAUUGAAGGUUUUCCAUAAAUGACAUGAUGUGAUUUCUCCAAGAAAAGAAAGAAAUUCAAGAAUUCAUUUUGCAUAAGCCCAUGAUGAGAUCAAAAUCAGCUUUCGAAAAAGAAAUCAAUUUUAAUCUUUGAAUUUAAAGUAAUCUUCAAGGCCCAAUACAAACAAGUUAUCUUAUUCUAGAAAUAGUAACCAUGUUGUUCCUUGCUAUUUUCUUAACUAAAGCUUAUUUAAAACGGUGUUUAACGAUCUAAGAUACCAUAAAUAAAAUUAUCACAAAUUCUACUAAUUACUCAUUUAUCAUAAAUCAAAUGUAAAAAAAAAAAAAAAGUAAAAUAUUGCAUCUCUUAUAUAUUUUCAAUAUUUAUUUAAGGCCAAAUCUUCAAAGACGGAAAGCAAACUCCCUACAAAUGCAACUAGCUCCUAAGCUGUAAUUCUAAAAUAGAAAAUCGAGCAUCACAUGCAUUUUCCUAGCAAACAAACACAAAAUCUAGAGGGAGAGAGAAAUCUGAGUGCGUGGUAGUGAGAGAAAAGCAAAGACAGACCGGUGAGUGUUUGCCAGGUAGUAGCAGAUCCCUGAGCAGAGACAACAACCACCAAUGACUGAAGUAGUAGUACAGCUAGUAGAGGAGUGAAGAACGAGCGUAAGUUACACAUUGCCGGAAAAUCUAGCCGGCGACUUGUUGGAGGAGCUUAAGCAAAACUCCGGCCAAUAUAUAUAUAUAUAGACAGAGACACCGACCAUUAAUCUUACUAAAACAAAUAUAUCAGAUAAUAUGUGGUAAAUUAACAAUUGAGUUGGACUAGAGAUCCCUAUCUGCCCACUCAGUGAUGGAAUCGGGAUGGCUCGAGCCACUGAGUAAAAGGUGACAAGUGCUGGUUGGAAGACAGCUAGAAUGGCGUCCACACCAUGAGCACAAACAAUCCGGCAACAGUCCACUUGUCAUGAUAUGAUUGGUUCUCCUAUUUUAGGAGAAGGUGACUUGUCAGCACGCAACGAGAAAACAAGAAGACAUCCACAAACGACAGAAGAUAUUGGAAAAAGAUGAUGGUGAACCAAUUGGCAACAAUAGUUUACAUUUAGGAGUCAAUAAAUAGACUUAUCAUUUUGACAUGACUAUUUUAAUAAUGACCCGUUGUUUUUUUAUAAUAAUUAUAUAUUUAUUUACUAAUUCUUUGUUUUAUAUAUAUUGUGGUUUUCUUGGGUUUUUAAUGGAAUAUAUAUAUAUAUAUAUAUAUAUAUAAACUAAACCUAGAGAUCUUUUCAUUAUACACGCAUGCAUUGUGCAUCCUUUUACAAAUUAUUAUUAAUUAAAUAAGUGAUCUUGUUUUUUUCAUUUUAAUCUCUAAUUUGUUUUUUUUGUACUGAAUCUUUUUCUAGCAAAGUUGAUAGUCAAUUGUUUCAAAAUGGUUAACAAAAGGCAAAAUUAAAGGAUAAAAGACUAAAGGGAAAAUAAAUGUUGUUUCUAUUGAUCUUUAAGUAAUACAUUUAUGAUUUUAUAUAUGUUUUGCCGAUAAUAAUAAUAUCAAAAUUAUACUAAUAAUAUGCUUGGUUGAGAAUAACUUUAAACUUGUUUUAUAUGAAGAAUAUCAACAAGCAUGGAUCAUGUCCAAGAAGAAAGCAAAACGAAGUAUUUAUUUUAGUGCUCAUGAUGUAAUCAUAUUAUUCGAUAGUUUCACCUACAUUUAACUAGUGUUUUGCCUAUGUUUUAUGUAUAAAAUGCCUUGAUAUUCUUUGUUUUAUGUUUUGAAGGCACCUUUAGAUGAAAGAUGCAAAAAGGAGUAAAUUGGAGGUAAUUGACAGAUUUGACCCUCAGUCGAUGUUUUGUGCAGAGCGUGAGUUCUAGAAGUCGAAAUGAAGUGAUUCUAGUGGCAUUAGAAAGAUAACAUCCAUACCUUUCUGGAAAUAUAAGUCAAGAAAAAUAAAAAUACAAAGAGCAUGGAAAUCACAUCCUUCAAAGUCAAAACUCGCAUUCUGCCAGUGUUGACCUUUGUCCAUUAAAAAUUCAAUAUCUGGAGCUACAGACAUCCAAUUGAUGCAAACUCAAUUGUGUUGGAUUCCUGACUCAAAUUCGUACAAACGCUCCAAAUUUCAGCCAAAAAAAAUGUCAUAUGAGGGAGAUAUGAUUUUUCAAAGAUGACAAUUGAAUUCUGCCAGCAAACAGGUUUCAUGAAGAAACGAAUCCAAAUUACAUCCCGAAGCAUCCAAACCGACAUCCAAGUUUUAAUUUCAGCAAUUUAGCUCCUCUAGUAAAUCAAUCCAGAAGGUCAAGGAAGGCAGCCACCAACCUCAAGCCACCAACCUCAAAUCACCAACCACAAACCAGCUGCCAACCACCAGCCACCAGCCGUCAGCCGCCUUCACACUACCACCAUCUAUCGAUGUUCACACUUGAACUUUGAUUCUUCUUACUUACAUUUUGUGUAUAAAUAGGCAGCUAAGUUUAUGCUAUGAAGAGAGCCAAUAGGGAAGGAAAGAGAGCCAAGAGAGGGAGAGGGAGUGCAGUGGAAUAAAAGAAAGAGGGGUGGCAGCCAUAAGAGAAGAAACACAAACUCUCCCCUCUACAAAUCAGAAAUCAUGUAUUCUUUCAUCUUUAGGAGUAGUUGUUCAAUAGAUAUGCAAGGCUAAGCUCGUUUUCUUGGUUGCAAGGACGCAAACACCUUCAGAUUUCAAGAACAAUGAGAUUUAUUCUUCCAUUUAUUUUCAGUUUGUAUUAUGAAUGAGUAUGUUUGUUUUCCUAUGCAUAUUUCCUGUGAUUGUUUAUCUUAAUUGCUAGAGCGGACUCUAAGUUAUUAUUGUGAACAAUUUAUUGCUAAGUUUGAUAUCAAAACCGGAGUUGUGGUAUAUAAACUUGUGAAGCAACUAAGCUUGAUAAUUGUAGCGGAACUACGUUAUUAAACUUAGGGAGAACAUUCGAUCAAAUGCAACACAAACUGACAACUUGGUUGUUAAGAUUAAUGACUUUAUCUAGAUCUUAAGGCUGCCAUUGGAUUAAAUCAUUAGUGCGGACACUGUGAUUGUUUGUUGGUUAGGGUUAAUUAUACAGCGGAUCUGUUAAUUAACCAACGUUAAGAAAAGAUAAAAAUUCAGAAUAUAAACUGGAGUUUCGUUUCAAGGAUCGGUUGUGAUUUCUGUUGGUGGAUGUGUGCUUGCGACCAAGGUUUGUUUUCUUGAUAUAUUUCAGUUUCAAUUGAUUUUGUUUAUUAGUGUAAUUUCUACCAUAGUUUAGAUCAUUGUAAAUCAAACCCCCCCAAUUACAUAACGUAUAGCAUAAAAAUCUGAACUAAACCUUCCUCGUGGGAUCGACCCCUUGCUUGCUCUAUACUAUCUUGUGUGUUUUAAGUUAGGGUAAUUAAUUUGUGCGACCGCGACAUCGCAACAGCUCAUGUGUAAAUCUUUAAAUACUACUUGAAAGCAGUAAUUAAAAUGAAUUCACACAUUUCACUUCACAUAUAUUUUAAAAGGAUUGAUAAAGCGGUUCUAAGAAUUCAUCAAGUUUAAAACUAUCAAAACUAGAAUUAUACAUGAACCAGUUGAUCAUUUGAUGAUACCAAAUGAACCGGUCGACUGCUUGCUCAUCAGGGAUGAACACCUAGAAAUUUAUAGAAACUGGUCGAUCGCUUCAGCCGUCAGUGGGUCUAACGACUGGUUUCUUUUAGAAACUUAUAAAUAGCUCUCAUUCUUGCAAAACUGUAAGAGAAUUCCGAACAUACAAUAUAUAGAGACUAUUUCAAAAGCAAAACUAGCUAGAAAUCAUCAAUCCUAACAUACUAUAAUGUUAUGCUAAAUUCAACCUUCAUAUUCUAGCACAAGAGUAUAAAUUCUCACACUCACUAUACUUAAACACUUUCAUACUUUCUAAGUGUUAUUUAGUGAGUUAUAGACAUCAUAGUUUUCAAUUGUAUUAUCUACUCUUUAAAAGAGUGUUGUCACAUUUCAAACAAUUGUAAACCUUCAAAAGUAUAGGUGAAAAACUCUUGGUCAUUGGUGAGGUGCAUCUACAAGGUAAAAAAUCUGAAGUUGAUAUUUCUUCAAGUGGUGAAUAAAGGGCUCAACAAGGAUUCAUCAAGGACAUUGUAAUCUCUAACUUGGAUUAGUAAAGAAUAUAGAGUCUAUAAUAAUAUAACACUGUGUCUUGAAGAAUUCAUGUAUGUUGUCUUCAAGGAAACUCAAAAUGAUAAAAUUGUUGAGAUUCUUUAUCACAUUAAUGAAUGUGGUCAACAUUUGAGUCUUAAUGAUAAGACCCCCAUGGAGGCUAACAAUAAAAAAAUAAACAAAGACCAACCAAGCACAAGUAAUCAAUAAGAGAUGGUAAGUAACUCUUUUAUUCCACCAAAAGAGUUAAGGUACAUAAUCUCUUACCUUUUUGAGUUAAUUAUUGACAACCAUUUUGAAGAACAAAGGCUAUAACUUCAUUUACAAAUAUAAAUGGUCAUUUUGUUUUUGUUUCAUAUAUAAAACCUAAAUCAUUUCUUGAAACUGAAAAUGAUGAUAAUUGAAUUUUAGCCAUGCAAGAUGAGUUAAACCAAUUCAAAAGAAAAUUAUGUAUGAGAACUAGUCCUUAGACAUAACAACCAAUUAAUUAUUGGAACUAAAUGGGUUUUUAGGAACAAAGUUGAUGAGCAUGAGACCAUUGUUAGAAAUAAAGCUAGACUAGUUGUCAAAAGUUAUAAUCAAGAAGAAGAUAUUGAUUAUAAAGAAACCUUUACACUGAUGGCUCGAUUAAAAUAAAUAAGAAUGCUUUUAGCUUUUUGCAUGCCAUGCUAAUUUUACACUUUUUUAAAUGAAUGUUAAAAGUGCAUUUUCAAAUGGUCUUAUUAUGGAAGAAGUGUAUGUUAAGCAACCUCAAGGUUUUAAAAACUUUCAUUUUCCCGAUCAUGUUUUCAAACUCAAAUAGGCUUUAUAUGGUUUAAAACAAGCAACAUGAGCAUGGUAUGAUAAAUUAAAAUCUUUUCUUAUUGAUAAUAGUUUUAACAUUGGUAAAAUUAACAUCACCCUCUUCACAAAGAGAAAAAGGUAAAGAUAUCUUGUUUGUGUAAAUAUAUGUUGAUGUUACUAUAUUCGAUGCUACUAAGGAAUCUCUUUGUAAGGAAUUUGCAGGAUGUAUGCAAGAUGAAUUUGAAAUGAGCAUGAUGGGAGAAUUAAAUGUUUUUCCUUAAAUUGCAAAUCAAACAAGCAAAGAAUGACAUCUUCAUCAACCGAAGCAAGUGUAUCAAAGAUCUACUAAAAGAUUUGGGAUGAAACAUGUCAAAGAAGUUGACACACCUAUAAGAACAUCAACCAAGCUUGAUAUGGAUGAAAAUGAUAAGAAUAUAGACAUCACCAAAUAUUUAGGUAUAAUCGGUUUAUUCUUAUAUUUAACUCCAAGUAUACUCGAUAUUAUGUUUUGUGUAUGUCUAUGUGGAAAUUUUCAAACAUGUCCUAAAGAAUUCCAUGUUAGUGCUAUAAAAUGAAUUUCUUUGAUAUUUGCAUGUACAAUUGAUUUAGGGUUGUGGUAUUCGAAAGGAAACGAGUUGAAUUUGAAUCGGUAUUCAGAUGUUGGAUUUAUUGGGUGUAAAGUUGAUAAAAAUAGUACUAAUGAAACUUGUUAUUUUAGGAUCAUCACUAGUAUCUUGGGCUAGUAAAAAACAAAACUCAAUAGCCCUAUCAACAACUGAAGUCGAAUAUAUUAUAGCGGGUAGUUGUUGUGCAUAAAGUUUAUGGAUAAAACAAACCUUAAAAGACUCUGGUCUUAAUUUUGAUAAUAUAUUGUUGGUUAAUUGUGUUUAAUUGUUUAUUUAAAUUAAUCACAAUAUUUGUAAAUAUUAGUUGAACACCUAAUUCAACUCUUUUAGGUGUUAUUAUUGCCUUAAUCUUAGAACAACAAUUUCCAAAAAUAUACGUUACUCCUCCUAUUUUUCACUUUAUCACUUUUUAGCCCUUUUAGUUUUUUAAAAUGCAUUUUAGUCCAAAAUUUUAUUUUUCUUGUUUCUUAGUCUUUGUUUUAGAGUGGAGGGAUAAAUUCGUUAGAUUCCAAUGAUAGAGAGAGAAAAUAUUUGUUGACAUCAAUUUAGAUCACUAAAAAAGUCAAUUUUGAUGUUAAUGGGUUCCAAUCGAUGAGAUGAGUUGUAAUGGGGUGUUAUUUGGCCUUCCUAUUGCUUGAGAUGAUAUAUUUGAGCUCAACAAGGUUUUUGAAUUCUGGUUGAUUUUAGGUUUAUGGACAUGUUUUUAGGUUAUUUGAUCCCAUAAACAAGCUUAACAAGGUCUUUAGGGUAUUUUCUAAGUGUUUUAGGUCACAAAUAGGUUGAAAAAAUAAAUUUUAUGAAAAAAAUACUACUACCCUAAUUUUUCAGCGACUCUCUAUUCGUUGGAUUCUGGAGACGUAGAUGACAUGUCUUUUGCCUCGUUUUAUUUUUUAAAUAGUGAGCAGACGAUGUGUUGUCCACCCUCUAUUAUUAGAAAAAAAAAAAAAGGCUCAACGUGCCAGCCAUGCCUAUGUUUAUGGGCCAGAUGUGUGGCUUGGCCUGCGCACUUGGCUGAAUUGAUAUUUUUUAAAAUGAUAUUUUUUUUAAUGCUUUUUUAGCUCUUUAAAAUUAAAAAAAAAUUUCGUCCUUCGUCAUUUAAGUUUCUCUUUUUGUUAUUUUCAUUAAAAAAAAAAAACCUUUUUGUUUAUCCAACUUUAAAAAAGGCUAUUUUUUCUUUUUUUAGCCCCACACUUCGUGUGACUAAAUAAAGAAUAAUUUAAGAGAUAGAAAGUUAUUAAAUUCAAUAUGAUACAUGACCCAAAUCAUGAGUUUAAUAGGUUGAUUUAAAUUUACUUGGGUCUUUUUUUUUGUCUUUUUUGAAUUGAAUAUUUUUAAUUUUUAAUUUAGUCUUUCAACAUUCAGUUCCUUGGGUAUUGAGCCUUGUUAUUUGUUUUGAUUUGCUUUAGAUGGAUUAUCAUGGUCUUAUGAUUUAGGUUGCAAAUUGAGCUGGUUAAUCUUGAUUAACUCAGGUCGAUCUAAUAUGUUGUUGUUACAAUAUUUGAGAAAAUAAUUAUUCAAUAUAUCAUCAUCUCAAUAUUAAAAAAAUAUAUCAUAAAAUAUGUGUUGGAUUUUGUAUUCAUGAUUAAUUCUUUUUCAGAAAACACAUCAUCAAUCCCUAAAGGUUUUUUUUUUUUUUUUUGCAUUAGAAAAAAAGAUUUAUGGAAAAGUGUGUUUUUAAAAUCUUUCAGUUCAAAAAUAUUGUUAUUGUUAAAUAAAAAUAAUAAUUUCUUUCCCCUCAAGAUUGUGUCGCUCAUCCAAAAUGAUUAAUAUAAUCAUAAUAUUUUUUUAUUUUUAAAAAAUAUUAAAUUGAUAAUAAUUUUAAUGAUUUUAAUAAAAAAAUAAAAAGUUAUUUUAAAGUGUUUUUACAUAUUAAUAAACAUUUUAUACACAAUUAUUAUGCUGCCAUCAACAUUUACAUUAAAAAAUAUAUAACUCUCUUUCACUAUAGUCAAAUAACCCUCGAAGGUUUAUCCUUUUAAUAAAUUAUUGUAUUUGGUAUUAGUUCAUCUUAAAAAAAAUUAUAUGUUUUUUAUACAUAUCAUCAACAAGUUUGGUUAUUUUCUAUUUCCAUAGCCGAUUUUAUCUUAUGACAAUAUUAUAAAGAGAGGUUUAUCAGCUUUUAUUGCAAACUAAAUUCUCUUCUUCUUCUUUUUUUCUAUUGAUACUCAUCUAAAUUUUAGGCUAACAUAUGAAUUUUAAAACGUUUAUUUUUAUUUUAAAUAUAAACAAAAAUAAUGCUAUAUAAUUGAUUAAUUUUUAGAAUUAGAAAAACUAUUUAAUUUAUUAUUAAAAUAAAAACCAAGAGACUAAUUUAUAAUUUAUUGUGUUAUUGAGUUUAUUUGUCUAAAAAUAUGCAAUGUGUAUUUAUGAUAUGUUAAACCGUUUAUUAUUGUGGUAAUUUUUAUUUUUUUAUUUAAUUAUAAAGAAAUUUUUUUUUGAUUAGUCAAAUAAUUUAUAUUUUUAAAUUGAACCCCACAUAUAAUUACAUUUCAAACAUUAAUUUUAUAAAAACUAAAAUAAUUUUUUUAUCUCACAACAAUUUUAACUAAACAGUUUAUAUUUUUAAAAUUACUAAUAAAAUUACUUAUUAAAUUCUUUUUUAAAAAAACUGCAAUUGCAUAAGCUAAACACUACCUAAUCUAACUUGCGUUUUGAAUUUUGUUAUCUUGACGGUGAGAUCAGCUGGCUUAAGGUUUUUAAAUUAUUUGACUGGAUGAUGAGCUGAGAGAGGUUUCUAUUAUCAUUACUUGUUAUUUUAAUGAAAGCUUCGUGUAUUCAAUUCAUGGAAGUCUGUACAAUGACAAUAAUGCCCUGAGGUAAAAGGAUUGGUGAGGGAGUUCCAUUUGUGUUACGGUGAACCAUACUUCUAACCUUCUUUUUUUAUUUUAUUGUAUUAGUUGCGAAUAAGUUCUUUAUUAUAUUUGAUUAUAGGAGUAAUUGACUGAUUUAUUUUUAUACAUUGGAUAGUAUUCUUUGACAUGUUCAUCCUUAUAUAUUUAUUAUUUUCUCCCAUAUAUUGUUUUUUUAUUAUUAUUUGAUAAAAUACCCCUCAAAUUAUAAGAACAUUAAAAAAAAAGGGUGAAACUUAACUAUAAAAAAUUAAAGAAACUUGAAAACUUUAGGAAAAGAACUUACAAAACAUAAUAACAAUAAAAAGAAAAAAGAAAAAAAAUGAAAGUACCUAGUAAAAUCUAAAGGUUAAAAAAUUGAUCUGAUUUUGUAGGACACGAGUUCUAAACAUUUUUCAUUAGUCUCUAUGUUUUUUCUAUAUUUUUAUUAAUUAUUUUAAUUUUUUUGAAAUAUUCAAAGUUUUUGUCUUUCUGAAUUUUUUAAUUUUUUUAGUUUUUUUGUUCUUAGAUUCGGUUAAUUUUUUAAAAAAUUGUAAUUUUUUAUAUCCUUAUAAAUAUAUAAGGAUAUAUGAAUUUUAAGAAAAUUCUCACAUGGAGAAAUAUGUUCAAGGAUCGAUGAAUAUAAUGUCCUUAAAUCAUAUCUCUCUCUUUUUGAAAAUUGAAAUUCACUUGCCAAUAAUUAUUCUUCUAACUUGAAUUUUGAUUUUCAAUUAUAAAAUUUUCUUUCUUUUCUUUAUUUUUUCCUAAGAAUAUAUUUAGAAAGUUUGUUUUCGUGUUAAUAAUUUUAAUGUGUUAAUAUAUAUAUAUAUAUAUAUAUAGACAGAGACACCGACCAUUAAUCUUACUAAAACAAAUAUAUCAAAUAAUAUGUGGUAAAUUACCAAUUGAGUUGGACUAGAGAUCCCUAUCUGCCCACUUAGUGAUGGAAUCAGGAUGACUCGAGCCGCUGAGUAAAAGGUGAUGAGUGUUGGUUGGAAGACAGCUAGAAUGGCGUCGACACCAUGAGCACUAACAAUCUGGCAACAUUCCACUUGUCAUGAUAUGAUUAGGGGGCGCAUUGAGGGAAGCAAAAUGCGUGGAAUGGUUCUCUUAUUUUAAGAGAAGGUGACUUGUCAACACGCAAAGAGAAACAAUAAGACAUACUCGAAUGACAGAAGACAUUGGGAAAAGAUGAUGGUGAACCAAUUUGCAACAAUAAUUUACAUUUAGGAGUCAAUAAAUAUACUUAUCAUUUUGACAUGACUCUUUUAAUAAUGACCCAUGGUUUUUUUAUAAUAAUUAUGUCUCCAAUUUUUAAAUUUAUAUUUAUUUACUAAUUCUUUGUGUAUAUACAUAUUGUGGUUUUCUUCGGUUUUUUAUGGAAUAUAUAUAUCAACAAAAACAAAAAAAGGAACUAAGCCUAGAGGUCAUUUACUGGACACACCUGCAUUGUCCAUCUUUUUACAAAUCAUUAUUGAUUAAAAAAGUGGUCUUUUUUUUAAUUUUAAUCUCUCUUUUUUUACUGAAUCCUUUUCUAGCCAAGUCGAUGGUCAAUUAUUUCAAAAUUGUUAACAAAAACUAAAAUUAAAGGAUAAACGACCAAAGAGAAAAUAGGUGGUUGUUUCUAUUGAUCUUUAGGUAAUAUAUUUAUGAUUUUAUAUAUAUUUUGAUGAUGAUAAUAAUAUCAAAAUUAUAUUAAUAAUAUGCUUAGUUGAGAAUAAGCAUUAAACAUGUAAGAAUACAUCAACAAGCAUGGAUCAAGUCCAAGAAGGAAGCAAAAUGAAUUUUUCAUUUUAGUGCUCAUAUAUAAAUCUUUAUAUCCUACUUGAUAAUACUAACAAAAAUGAAUUCACACACUUCACUUUGCAUACAUUUUAAAAGGAUUAAUAAAACGGUUCUAAGAAUUCAUCAGGUUUAAAACUAUCAAAACUAGAAUUAUGUGUGAACUAGUUGAUCGUUUGGUGAUACCAAAUGUUAUUUAGUGAGUUAUAGACAUCAUAGUUUUCAAUUGUAUCUACUCUUUGAAAGAGUAUUGUUACAUUUCAAACAAUUGUAAACCUUCAAGAGUUUAGGAGAAAAACUAUUAGUCAUUGGUGAGAUGCAUCACCAAGGUAAAAAAUCUUGAAGUUGAGAUUUCUUCAAGUAGUGGAAAAAAAAGGGCUCAAUAAGGAUUCACCAAGGACAUUGUAAUAUCUGGCUUGGAUUAGUUAAUAAUAUAAUACUCAAGACCGGCUUGGUGCAUGAGGUGUGGAUGUGAGUUUGUUGAACCACAUUAAAAAUCGAGUUUGCAAUCUCUCUUCCUUAUCCUUUUACUUUACGCAAUUUAAUUAUAUUGUUGGUUAAUUGUGUUUAAUUGUUUUUUAAUUAAUUGCAAUAUGUGUUAAUAUUAGUGGAACAUCUAAUUCACUCAUUUAGGUGUUAUUGUUACCUUAAUCCUAUAACAAUAAUUGGCAUUAGAGUCUGGUUCUCAUUUAUAAGUUUGCUUAGACUUUGAGUAGAAUUGCAACCAUUAGUUUUAAUGUACAAAAUAAAGGAUCAUCAACCUCUAGGCCACCUUUCUUUGAUGGUAAUGACUAUGCCUAUUGGAAAGCUAUGAUGAUUCUAUAUCUUCAAUCGAUUGAUUAUUGAUUAGUACUUAAAAGUGCAUUUUUAUCAAGGUUUUAUAUCAUCAUUUUGCACUUGAAGUAUCUAUAACUCCUUAACUAAAGCAUGUUUUAUAAUAACAAGUCUGAUACCAUAAGAUACCUUUAAUUUAUGGUAAAUGUUUAUCUUAAAUGCAGGCCUAUCACAUAAAUGAAAGGAUUGAUUGAUGAGUUUAAGUACGGAAAUUGAAAGGACAAAGAGAGGGCCAAACUUAGUAAAGAGAUGUUGGUUCAGUCCAAACUGGAACACUGUUCGGUCAUCGGGUCAUAUCUGGAGCUGUAGAUCUUGGAUUUAUGUCUGCCUUAUAUGGAUGGAAAGCUAAGAAAUAGGCCUAAAACUUUCAUGGGAGUCCAAGAUUUAAAAAGGCUGUUUUCAAGUCCAAAUUGUAGCAACAAUGGAGAAGUCUGAAUCUGUCCUGCAGCCCAGACACUGUUCAAUGUUUAGCCCAUAUCUCGAGUUUUAGAACUCCAAAUGACCUCCAAUUUUUAACCUGGAAAGCUGAGACAAUUUCCUAGAACUUUCAUGAUUUAAGUCUGUUCAAAUUAUGAUGUUAUCAAUUACGUUUUUGGCAGACAAUAAGAUAAGGAUUGUCACCAAGUCAAGAUGUGGCCACCUACUCAACAAUUAGUCAACAAAUCAAUAAUUCUGAAUUUUGGCCUAUAAAAGGAGGUAUUUGCCAUGUAUUUAGGCAUCUUGGUUUUUAGAUCAAGAUCAUGCUCUUGCUCUCUCUUUAUAUUUUGUAAUGCUUAAGUUUUGCUUAUAUUAAUCUCUUACUUAUGCUUUUCAUUUCCUUUCCUUGUUUAUUUAUGUUUCUCUCUUUCAUUAUGUUUAGUUAAGUUUAUCAUGUCAAGGUGAAAAGGUUACACUAAUGGUGUAAGAAUAAGUAUAAUAUAAACUCAACAUGGACCUUAAUAUUUGAUACUAACAUGUUUUAUAUUUGUUAUCUUGUUCACUUUUAAUACUUUGCUUGUUAAAUGGUUAAUCUAGAUUUAUGUUGUAUAACCCUUGGUAGAACAAAUACUUGGCACUUUCAUAGCCCAACCAUAUGGUAUAACCGACACCUGUGCUAUGAAAGGAAUUUGAUUUGUUGUUAACAUAAGUUAUAAUCAUGAAUGCCUGACAACAUUUACAAGUAUUAGCAUUAUUCAAAUAAGAUAACUAAUGUAAUCAUGUUAAUAAUUUAUAAUCCGAUUGGAACCUCCUUUGUGUGUGGUUUCCAGUUGAGUAAUAAAAAGAGUUUAUACUAUACUUGUUUGAAAUACCAUUAGUGGAUCCUCUAACCUUGACAAUUAUUUUAUCAUUGUUUAAUCUUUAUAUCAAUAUCACAUCUCAAAGCUCUCUUUGUUAUUAUUAUUGUUGUUGUUGUUGUUGUUGUUUAUAAUUUAUACAAUUAACCUCCUUGUGGUUCGACCCCGGUCUUGCCGGGUUAUUUAUUACUUCGACACUCCUGCACUUGGGAGAAAACAUCAAUCUUUUGGUCGUGUCAAGUUUUUGGCGCCGUUGCCGGGGAGGUAAAUUCUUGUAAAAUUAUAAUAUUUAUUUUAUUUUCUCUUUUCACCUUUCAUUUUAUCUAACUUUUGUUUUGUUUUGUUUUGUUUCCUUUUCUUUUCUUCUUUUUAUUCUCUUCCUACACGUGCACGAGAGUUUGGUCACGUACAUUAAGUGGUAGACUUUGUAGGGUAUCCUUAUCAUUUUCAGAAAAUAUGGCCGAAGAAGAUAACCAGUCGCUUCAUAACGAGAAUAAUGAGAAUAUUCGUGUUAGAACACUUAGAGACCACAUGAAUCCCACAAGAACAAGUGCACCCUCAUGCAUAGUUUUUCCUCCUGAUGCAUCUCAUUUUAAUUUUAAGCCAGGCAUUAUUCAACUUUUACCUUGUUUUCAUGGCUUAGAUUUAGAAAAUCCAUACUUGCAUUUAAGGGAAUUUGAGGAGGUCUGUAACACCUAUAAUGACUCAAAUUAUAGCAUGAACACCAUCAGGUUAAAGCUUUUUCCUUUUUCAUUAAAAGAUAAAGCUAAAACAUCUACAAAAUUUGAGACCAGGAUCUAUUUGUGCUUGGGAUGAAAUGCAACAAUAAUUUUUAAAGAAAUUUUUUCCAUCUCCCAGAACAAACUCUUUCAAAAAACAAAUCAUCACUUUCACUCAAAAACCAAGAGAAACAUUUUACCAAUGUUGGGAUAGGUAUCGAGACUUGCUUAAUACUUGCCCUCAUCAUGGUUUUGAGACAUGGAGAUUAGUUUCACAUUUUUAUGAAGGGUUAACACCUAGAGAUAGGCAAAUGGUUGAAUUGAUGUGCAAUGAAACUUUUGAGGAUAAAGACCCUAAUGAAGCAAUGGAGUACCUAGACUUGCUAGCUGAAAAUGCUCAAAAUUAGGAUACUACAGGCACUUAUGAGGCACCAAGUAAAACCCAACCUCAUACAUCUAGUGGAGGUAUGUACAACCUUAGGGAAUAUCAUGACCUCCAAGCCAAGUUUACAUCUUUAGCUAGAAAAGUUGAGGCACUAGAAUUAAAAAGGAGUGGUCAACUAAAAUCUGUUCAAGACAUUGUGUGUCAAAUCUGUGAAACUAAUGAACAUUCAACCAAUGACUGUCCAACUUUGCCUUCUUUUAAGGAAUGUCUCCAUGAACAAGCUCAUGCUUUAAACAGUUUCCAAAGGCCCAAUCAUAACCUAUACUCGCAAACAUACAACCCUGGUUGGAGAAAUCACCCAAAUUUCAAUUGGAAGAGUGAUAAUAAUAAUGCACAAACUUCACAGCCACCGUUUCAAGCACACCAUAAUUUUCAAAAUUCUCAUGGAUAUGCACCUCCUUAUGCUCCACCUCCUAGAAGAAAUCUUGAGGAAACAUUGCAUGCAUUCAUUGAAAAGCAAGAGACAAUCAACACUCAACUUGCUCAAAGCAUGACAGAUUUUAAAGAUACUCUUGCAAAAUUGACAUAUGCUCUCAGUUUUCAAGAGAAAAGUAAGUUUCCAUCUCAACCAUAACAAAAUCCAAAGGGGCAAUACAAUGUGAAUGCAAGUAGUUCUGGAAGCCAACACAUGGAUCAAGCCAAAUCAGUCAUCACUCUUCGCAGUGGUAAGGUUAUUGAAAAACCCAUUCUUGAACCUUGUGAGAAAGAUGAUGAGUCAAUCUCUGAGGGUAAGGAAGGGGUUGAAUCUGAACAUUGCAAAAAAAAGACUGAUUCCCCACCAACACUUCCAUUUCCUCAUGCCAUGACCAAACAAAGAAAAGUCAAUCACAACUCUGAAAUCUUUGAAACUUUCAAACAAGUAAGGAUCAAUAUACCUUUGUUGGAUGCUAUUAAACAAGUUCCUUCUUAUGCUAAAUUUUUUAAAGAUCUGUGCACUGUGAAGAGAAAACUGAAUGUGAAAAAGAAAGUCUUUUUAUCCGAACAAGUAAGUGCCAUUCUUCAGAACAAUAAUGCUUCGAAAUAUAAAAACCCUGGUUGUCCUACAAUUUCAUGCUUUAUUGGAGAACAUAAAAUUGAAAGAGCUUUACUUGAUCUUGGAGCUAGUGUGAAUUUACUUCCAUAUUCAGUUUUUUAAAGUCUCAAUCUAGGUGAGUUAAAACCAACUUCUGUAACUCUUUUACUUGCCGAUAGAUCUGUAAAAGUGCCUAGAGGAAUACUUGAAGAUGUGUUAGUACAAGGCGAUAAAUUCAUUUACCCUGUGGAUUUUAUUGUCUUGGAUACACAACCUGUUGAAGCAUGUAAUUCAUUUCCUGUUAUUUUAGGACGUCCGUUUCUUACAACUUCUAAUGCAUUGAUUAAUUGUAGGAAUGGACUGAUGAAGCUAUCAUUUGGAAACAUGACAUUGGAGAUGAACAUUUUCAAUAUUUGCAAGCAACCUGGAGAUGAUAAUGAUUUACAGGAAGUGGACUUUACUGAAAAAUUAGUUCAUGAUCAAUUUCAAACCACUUCUAGUGAAACUGAGAUUGAUGAAUCUGACGAUUUGCAAAUGGUUUAUUUUCAGGAAGAAUCAAAGGAAAAUAGUUGGAGACCGAAAAUUAAGGAAUUGCCACCACGAUCAAUUGAGUCCAUACCUUCAAGUGUUCAACCACCAAAACCUGAUUUGAAGCCCUUACCAUUCAAUCUCAAAUACUCAUUUUUUGGAGAAAAUGAAACUUUUCCGGUAAUAAUCUCUUCCAAACUUAAUGCACUUCAAGAAGGUAAGUUAUUACAAACUCUGAAAAUGCACAAAAAUGCAUUAGGAUGGACCAUAGCUGACAUAAAAGGAAUUAGUCCUUUGAUUUGCACACACAGGAUUUAUUUGGAGGAAAAUGCUAAACCCUCUAGAGAAAUGCAACGAAGGCUUAAUCCUAAUAUGAAAGAAGUAGUGAAAAAUAAAGUCAUUAAGCUUCUAGAUAAUGGAAUCAUUUAUCCUAUUUCUGACAGCAAAUGGGUAAGUCCUACCCAAAUUGUACCCAAGAAGUUUGGAGUCAUUGUGAUAACAAAUGAGAAAAAUGAGUUAAUUCCAACUAGGACUAUUACUGGUUGACGCAUGUGCAUUGACUAUAGGAAACUUAAUUCAAUGAUUAGAAAAGAUCAUUUUCCUUUACCUUUCAUGGAUCAAAUCCUAGAAAGAGUUGCAGGUCAUGAAUUUUAUUGUUUCCUAGAUGGUUAUUCAGGUUAUAACCAAAUUGAAAUUGCAUUGGAAGAUCAAGAGAAGACUACUUUCACAUGUCCAUUUGGUACUUUUACAUAUCGAAGGAUGCCUUUUGGAUUAUGCAAUGCACCAGUCACAUUUCAAAGAUGCAUGCUCAGUAUAUUUAGUGAUAUGGUUGAACGUUUUCUUGAAAUUUUUAUGGAUGAUUUUUCUGUUUUUGGCGAUUCAUUUGAUGAUUCUUUGACUAACUUAGAAAAGGUUUUGAGCAGGUGUGAAGAGAAGAAUCUUGUACUGAAUUGGAAAAAAUAUCACUUUAUGGUAACAAACGGCAUUGUACUUGGUCACAUUGUUUCAUCGAAAGGAAUUGAGGUUGACAAAUCUAAAAUCGAGUUAAUUGCUAACACCAAAAUCUGUUAAAGAUGUUAGAUCAUUCUUAGGACAUGCUGGUUUUUAUAGAAGGUUCAUCAAAGAUUUUAGUGUGAUAUCCAAGCCCUUGAGUAACCUUCUAACAAAGGAUAAUAUUUUUGAAUGGACUAAACAUUGUGAAGAAGCCUUUGUUAAACUGAAAAACUUGCUUACUUCUUCUCCUGUCAUUCAACCUCCUGAUUGGUCAUUACCUUUUGAAAUAAUGUGUGACGCUAGUGAUUAUGUUGUGGGUGCUGUCUUGGGACAAAGAAAAGAUAAGAAACCUUAUGUGAUUUACUAUGCAAGUAAAACUUAAAUAGUGCUCAAAUGAAUUACACCACCACUGAAAAAAGAAUUACUUGCAGUAGUAUUUGCAUGUGAAAAAUUCAGGUCUUAUCUUGUUGGCUCACCUGUUAUUGUUUUUAGUGAUUAUGCAGCAUUGAAAUAUCUUCUUUCUAAGAAAGAUUCUAAAGCUAGAUUGGUUCGGUGGAUUUUGUUACUUCAAGAAUUUGAUAUCACAAUCAAAGACAAGAAAGGCACCGAAAAUUUUGUCGCAUAUCACUUGUCAAGAUUGACAACAGAUUCGAGAUCUGACAUCACACCAAUCAAUGACUACUUUCCCGAUGAAUCUUUAUUUUUUGUCUCUACAAUGCCUUGGUAUGCUAAUAUUGUUAAUUUUCUUGUUUCAGGACAAUUGUCAGCUCAUUGGAGUACCCAAGACAAAAGAAAGUUCUUGAACGAAGUAAAGAACUUUUAUGGGGAUGACCUUUAUUUAUUCAAAUAUUGUCCUGAUCAAAUAUUUCAAAGAUGCAUUCCUGACAAUGAGGUAAGUAGUAUCAUUAAAUUUUGUCAUUUUGAGGCAUGUGGAGGUCAUUUCUCAUCAAGAAAGACCACUGCAAAAAUCUUACAAAGUGGAUUUUACUGGCCCACCAUGUUCAAGGACUCACAUGCAUUCUGCAACACUUGUGAAAAUUGUCAAAAGUUGGGAUCUAUUUCAAAACGUCACAUGAUGCCUUUAAAUCCUAUUCUUGUCAUUGAGAUCUUUGACUGUUGGGGUAUAGAUUUCAUGGGUCCAUUUCCUCCAUCAUUUGGUUUCUUGUACAUAUUAGUCGCAGUAGAUUAUGUUUCAAAAUGGAUAGAGGCAAUUCCAAGUCGAAACAAUGACCACAAAACAGUGAUAAAGUUCUUGAAAGAAAAUAUUUUGAGUCGAUUUGAAAUCCCUCGGGCCAUGAUAAGUGAUGGUGGAACACAUUUUUGCAACAAGUUAUUUGAGUCUUUAAUGAAAAAAUAUGGAAUCACACACAAAGUUGCCACCCUUUAUCACCCUCAGACAAGUGGACAAGUAGACCUUGCUAAUAGGGAGAUCAAACAGAUCUUGGAGAAAACAAUAAACCUUAAUACGAAAGACUGGUCUUUAAGACUUAAUGAUGCACUUUGGGCUUAUCGAACUGCAUAUAAAACAUCAUUAGGUAUGUCACCUUAUAGAUUAGUCUAUGGAAAACCUUGUCACUUGCCUGUGGAACUUGAACAUAAAGCUUGUUGGGCUAUUAAAGCUUUCAAUUCUAACCUUGAUGAUGCUAGUCAGCUGCAAAAAUUAUAAAUAAAUGAGCUUGAGGAAAUAAGAAAUGAUGCAUAUGAGAAUUCAAAAAUUCAUAAAGCAAGAAUCAAAGAGUUUCAUGACAAGAGAAUCUUCAGAAAAACAUUUGAUGUUGGUCAAAAAGUUUUGCUUUAUAAUUCUCGACUCCAUUUAUUUCCUAGAAAGCUAAGAUCAAGAUGGAGCGGUCCAUUUAUUGUGAAACAUGUGUAUCCAUAUGGGGCCUGUGAUAUCGAGAAUCCAAAGAAUGACAAUGUUUUCAAGGUAAAUGGACAUUGUUUGAAAGUUUGUUUUGACAAUUUUUUAGUUGAAAAUGACUCUAUUGAAUUAAGUGAUCCUGUAUAUAAAGAUUGAUUCUUUUUCUCACAUUGUUUUGUGUUUCAUUUUGGUGUGAAUUUUGUUUUGCUAGUCUCUCUCACCCCGGUCAAAUGGCGGAUAACAGUACUCCAUGACUUAAGUCGGUUCUUUCAGUUUCCCAUAAUAACUGAUAUAUGUAUAUAUUUGUGCAAUUCUUUGCUCUUUCUCCCUUCUUUGAAUAUCUUCUCCAACUCUCAUUUGAAAAUGGACACCACUCUUGAAAAAUUGAAAAAGUACUUUCCCGCUCUGCCUUAGAAUGCGAUUACAAAAAUUUACCGUGCUAGGUGUGCAAGAUUGAGGUUGUUAAUGAAUCAUGGAAUUCCUGAAGAUAUUCGUUGGCUGAUUGAAGCAAAGAUCUGAUUAUCAGGUGAGUACUCCAAUUCUUUCAUCUCAUACAUGCCUGGAACAGGUAAAAGCACUUUUGCAAAGAAACGUCGUGCAAAACGACUGAAACUCUACCACCGAUGUGCCAGAUGGACUUGUAAUGCAACAUGUCGUUCUUUAGGAAUGGUAUCUAUAAACCGUGAAGAUAAAAUACAAUUCAUUAAGGAUGGCCUGAGUAAGGGGUCUUUAGAUAAUCUUCUAUUGACUCUUGAGACGCAUCCUGGUGGAGAUGUGCAUCGUGCAAUUCAUGAUUUAUGGCCACAAUUCCAUAAAGAACAUGAUAGACUUAGUCUUGGGAAUCUAACUAUAAAAGACCCUGUUUGCCAGUUUUUAAGAAAACUGGAUGGGAAGCCUAUCCCCGACCCAUAGAGGGCGUUUAAGCUGUUCUUGGACGUAAAACCAAGGGAAGAUGUGAGCCACAAUCACAACUACCUGUACAUACACAUGCUUUUUCAAAAUAAGUAAGUAAAUAAAUAGAGAGAGUGUGUGAGACUCCAGCUAGCCUACAUAUAAGUGGUAUGAUUGUAUUUUUAAUUUCUCAUCUAUAAAAUAUUUUCUUUCUUCCCUUCAUUUCUACUUAACCCAUACAUUCAACUCUUAUUAGGAUGGCAGAGUAAGGAGGAAUUUUAUUGACUCUUGAGACGCAUCUUAGUAAAUAGUUUUAUCAAGGCCUAUCAGAAUACUUCUUGAAAUAUUCAUGUUUACAAACUCUCGCAUUGUUAUCACUUGAUUCUGCUCAUAUACUCAUUUAACAAGUAUUCUUAAACCUUUAUUUUCACACACACACUCUAACAUAUGAUUGUGGGUCACACAUUGGAUUAUUACAUUAUUUAUGUUCUUUUGUUAAAGGUAACAACUAAGGAAAAAGGGAUAGUAUAUAAUUUGAAAAAAAAAACAAAUUGAUAAUAUUGAUGAUAAUAAAAACGUAGAUAAGUUUGGUUUCGUAGCCUCCCUAACCUAAGCAAUUAAGCCCGAAGAGGUGUUUUAACACCUAAUACCCUAAAGUCAACUGACUUGGGAGCUAUUGGUCCAAAACUUGUUACAUGGGUUAAGGAGAAAAGCUUAAGAAAAUCAAACAUUGCAUUAUCUACGUAUUAGUAUCUGCAACUCAAGUUACUAAGCUCGUAGGGGUGUCUCAACACCUAAUGCUCUAAGACCAACUGGUCUAGGAGUCAUUAGCCGAAAGCUCGUUACAUGGGUUAAAGAUGCAUUGUAUUUUAAGUUAUAUGUAUAUAUAUUUAAAAGAAAAAAAAGAGAAAAAAAAAAGAAAAAAAAGAAGAUAAUAAUCUCAACCCAAGAAAGUUAACCUUAAACAUUAGAAUAGAAUAUUAUUUUCUUCCAAUAAAAGCCCCAUCAUCUAUGUUUUCAUACAUUGAGCAUAUAAAAAGGAAGAUUUAUUAAUAUUUUGUUUAAGAGAUAUUGAGCAAAUAUAUAAAUUUAAUGAGAGUUUGUUUAUCUGGAUAGAUUAAUGGAAGUUGAAUGAUGAAUGCCUUGCUUUGUGGAAUUUGCAAAUUGUUUUUCUAUUUUAACGCUUUGAUUACUAGGGACUAGUAAUAAGCUGGUUGGGGGGGUGUGAUUAGUACUUAAAAAUGCAUUUUUAUCAAGGUUUUAUAUCAUCAUUUUGCACUUGAAGUAUCUACAACUCAUUAACUAAAGCAUGUUUUAUAAUAACAAGUCUGAUACCAUAAGAUACCUUUAAUUUAUGGUAAAUGUUUAUCUUAAAUGCAGGCCUAUCACAUAAAUAAAAGGAUUGAUUGAUGAGUUUAAGUACAGAAAUUGAAAGGACAAAGAGAGGGCCAAACUUAGAAAAGAGAUGUUGGUUCAGUCCAAAUUGGAACACUGUUCGGUCAUCGGGUCAUAUCUGAAGCUGUAGAUCUUGGAUUUAGAUCUGCCUUAUAUGGAUGGAAAGCUAAGACAUAGGCCUAAAACUUUCAUAAGUCCAAGAUUUAAAAAGGCUGUUUUCAAGUCCAAAUUGUAGCAACAAUGGAGAAGUCUGAAUCUGUCCUGCAGCCCAGACACUGUUCAGUGUUCAGCCCAUAUCUCGAGUUUUAGAAGUCCAAAUGACCUCUAAUUUUUAGCUUGGAAAUCUGAGACAAUUUCCUAGAACUUUCAUGAUUUAAGUCUGUUCAAAUUAUGACGUUAUCAAUGACCUUUUUGGCAAACAAGAAGAUAAGGAUUGUCACCAAGUCAAGAUGUGGCCAUCCACUCAACAAUUAGUCAACAAAUCAAUAGUUCCGAAUUUUAGCCUAUAAAAGGAGGCAUUUGCCAAGUAUUUAGGCAUCUUGGUUUUUAGAUCAAGAUCAUGCUCUUGCUCUCUCUUUAUAUUUUGUAAUGCUUAAGUUUUGCUUAUAUUAAUCUCUUACUUAUGCUUUUCAUUUCAUUUCCUUGUUUAUUUAUGUUUCUCUCUUUCAUUAUGUUUAGCUAAGUUUAUCAUGUCAAGGUGAAAAGGUUACACUAAUGGUGUAAGAAUAAGUAUAAUAUAAACUCAACAUGGACCUUAAUAUGUGAUACUAACAUGUUUUAUAUUUGUUAUCUUGUUCACUUUUAAUACUUUGCUUGUUAAAUGGUUAAUCUAGAUUUAUUUUGUAUACCUUUGGUACAACAAAUACUUGGCACUUUUAUAGCCCAACCAUAUGGUAUAACCGACACCUGUGCUAUGAAAGGAAUUUGAUUUGUUGUUAACAUAAGUUAUAAUCAUGAAUGCCUGACAACAUUUACAAGUAUUAGCAUUAUUCAAAUAAGAUAACUAAUGUAAUCAUGUUAACAAUUUAUAAUCCGAUUGGAACCUCCUUUGUGUGUGGUUUCCAGUUGAGUAAUAAAAAGAGUUUAUACUAUACUUGUUUGAAAUACCAUUAGUGGAUCCUCUAACCUUGACAAUUAUUUUAUGCUUGUUUAAUCCUUAUAUCAAUAUCACAUCUCAAAGCUCUCUUUGUUAUUGUUGUUGUUGUUAUUGUUGUUGUUGUUGUUGUUUUUUAUAUACAAUUAACCUCCCUGUGGUUCGACCCCGGUCUUGCCGGGUUAUUUAUUGCUUCGACACUCCUGCACUUGGAAGAAGACAUCAAUUUUUUGGUCGUGUCAAUUAUAAAAUAUAAGGAUAGAGAAUAGACCUUUUAAACCUACCAGAACCGAAAAUGGUGUUACAAUUCCUAAGGCUAUGAGUGAGUAUAUGAUGGAAAUGGUGUUACAUUAUCCAUUGCAUGAAAAGUGUUAAAGACUCUUUAUGGUACUCACACACAAGAUCAUAUUCAACAAAUCAAUGGCGAGUUACAGUCCUUGAAUAAAUGUACUUAUUCUUUAAAAGAUUAUUUACACAAAGAAAAAUCUUUGGUUGUCUCUUUAUGGUGCAGGAAAACCAAUGGAUGACGAUGAGUUCAUCAUUUGCAUUUUUCAAGGAUUAGGAUCUGAAUUUGAUCUUAUAGUAGCAACAUUGAAUGCAAGAGAUAUUUUUCCAUCUUUUGAAGGAGUUAUUGGCAAACUCCGUGAAUUUGAAAUUCGACUUCAAGGAGCACGAGCAACUACUUCCAACAUUGGUUUUUAUACAAAUCGUGGCUGAAAAAACUCAAAGCCAUGGGUGAACCCCGGCACUCAAGGCUACAAUAAUCACAAUUUCACUAGAAGAAAUUCCACGGACAGUACUUCAUCAUCACGAGCUAAAAAGACUUGAUUCCCUCACUUUAAUAUAGGCUCAUCUAGAACUCGUCAGAAAUAAUUCUCACAUAAUGGUGGUCGUGGAUGGCAUCACUUGUUUUCAAUGUGGGGGGGCUUAAUCACAAAGCAGCCAGAUGUUUUGCUUCUGAUGAAGAUCAAUAAAAAGCUUUUGCUAAUAUCAAAAUUAGAGAAACUACAGAAGAGAUCUGGUAUUCUGUCACUGGUACAAACCAACUUAUGACCUCUAACACAAAUGAAGUUCAAGGUAUUAACUCUUAUCUUGGCAAUGAUUCUUUCAUGGUUGGUAAUGGUCAUGACUUGCCUAUCACUAGCACUUGACACAUUAUUUUUCUUACCACUAAUUUUAAGUUAAAUGAUGUUCAUGUGGUUCCUGCAAUUAAGAAGAAACUAUCAUAUGUCUCUCAAUUUAUAAGAGAAAUUAAUUGUUAUUUUUUGUUUUAUCCAUGGGGAUUUGUUUUCAAGGACAUGAAGAUGAAGUAGGUAGUCCUUAAGGGCUCCAUAAAGGAUGGUUGUAUCCGAUCAACCUGCAACAACUUUCAACAUCUUCAAUCAGUUUUUUAGCCAAUAAAGUAUCUAGCAACUUAUGGCAUGCAUGACUUGACCAUCCUCAAGCCCGGAUUCUUAUAAAGUUAUGUUUACCAUCUAUAAAUAAACAAAAUGCUUUCUAUGAAGGCUAUGUUUUGGGAAAAUCAACAAAGUUACCAUUUGAAUCUCGUAAAUCCUAUGCUACUUCUUUUCUGUAUACACUUCACACAGAUGUAUGAGGUCCUGCAUCUGUUUCUUCUUAUGAUGGCUAUUAGUUUUACUUAAUCAUUGUUGAUGAAUAUUCUUGAUGUAUAUGGUUCUUUCUUAUAAAUCAUAAAUCUGACGUAGCAACAAUAUUUUCUACAUUCCUCAAGCAAAUGGAAAAACAAUUUGAUGUUUAUGUUAAAAUAACUCAAAGUGAUGAGGGUGGUGAGUUUGUUAAUCAAAGCCUGCAUAAUCUUUUCAAAACUAAUGGUAUCAUUCAUAGAUUCUUAUGUCCAUAAACAUCAGAACAAAAUGAAUUGGCUGAACGUCGUCAAUGGCAUAUUGUGGAAUAUGGAUUAACAUUGUUAUCACAUGCUUCUAUUACGAUACAAUUCUGAAUAGCAGCCUUUUGUACUGUAAUAUUUCUAAUAAAUCGUCUACCUACUUCAGUUCUUGGUUACAACUCACCGCAUAAAGUUAUUUUCAGUUAUGCUUCUGCUUAUAAUUCCCUACAAGUUUUUGGGUGCUCCUGCUACCCAUUACUUGCACAAUUUGGUUGAUCAAAAUUGGACUUUAAAUCCACAUGGUGUGUGUUUCUUGGUUAUUCAAAUAAUCAUAAAGGAUAUCUUUGUCUUGAACCUUAGACAAGUCGCCUCUACAUAUCUCAUCAUGUGAAAUUUAAUGAAUCUCAGUUUCCCUACAGAUGCAUGCAGAAACGUGACACACAUGUUUCUCAGUUAUUUAAAGUCAGAGCACUUCCUCGACUACUCAAGACCAUGACUGAAAAAACAAAUGUCUCAACUCAAUAAAUAAUACAUCAUGUUUCAGCAAAAAAUGUCCAAAGUGUAUGAGUAUCUCAGUCUCCAAUUCCUGAACCAAUUCCUCCAUUCACUGCACUAGAAUUCAAUACUUUAGCACCAGAGGAUUCUCCCAUACUUGCUCCACAACAACAUCAUCAUAUGGUUACACGGGCUCAAAUAGGGAAGCUAAAACCCAAGGUAUUGUUCUCUUCAUAAUAUUCAAUACCUGCUUGUUUUGUUGCUGACCUUAUCACUCAACAACAAGACCUAGCGUACUUCAACAUCUGCAAUGGCAUCAAGCAAUGCAAGUUGAAAUGGAUGCUCUUCACACCAACAACACCUGAAAUUUGGUACCUAGAGAGCCAAACAUGAAUGUUAUCAGUAGUAAAUGGGUGUUCAAAAUCAAAACACGAUCUGAUACCUCUAUUGAAAGGUAUAAAGCUCAACUAGUGACUCGUGGAUUUACACAACAACCAAGCCUAGAUUAUGAUGAAACCUUUAGUCCAGUCAUCAAACCAAGUACUAUUUAGUUAAUCUUUACCAUUGGGCUAUCUCAAAGCUUGUCUAUCAGAUAACUAGAUGUUAGUAAUGCCUUUUUUCAUGGUGACCUACACGAAUAAGUAUAUUUGGCUCAACCCCAGGUUUUGAGGAUUUCUCCCAUCCAGAUCAUGUUUAUCAUCUCCAUAAAGCUUUGUAAGGUUUAAAGCAGCCCCUCGCGUCUAGUACCUAAAAUUCAGUACUUAUAUCCAGCAAAUGAGAUUCAUAUAAUGUCCCUAUGAUCAAUCUUUAUUCUCGCACUCAAGGAUCAGGCAUUCUUCUUUUACUUAUUUAUGUUAAUGACAUUCUUUUAAUAGGAAGUUCCUCUUCACAGAUUGACAAGUUUAUUACACACCUAUCUUUCAUCUUUCAUAUGAAAGAUCUUGGUGAUAUUCAUUACUUCUUAAGUCUUCAAAUCAUUUGCCAUGCAUCCACUGUCACUCAUACAAGGUAUUUACUGUCUCUUCUUCAAACGUUUGGUCUUGAUGGCACCAAACUUGUAAGCACUCCACUAGUAUGGGGGCCUUCUAUGUAUGCUGUUGAUGGUGCUCCCUUAGUUAAUCCUUUCCUUUAUCGCUGUUUGGUUGGCUCAUUAUAAUAUCUCACUCUAACCAGACUCGACAUCUCCUAUGUUGUUCAUCAAGUCUGUCAAUUCAUGCAAACACCCCAUGAUAUUCACCUCAUUGUUGUUAAGAGGAUUUUUCGGUAUCUGAAGGGUACUCUCAAUGUUGGUCUUCACUACGUCUGUACCCCUAUUCAUAAACUUCGUGGUUUUUGUGAUGUCGAUUGGGCUAGUUGCAGGGAUGAUAAACAUUUCAUUACUGGUUUUGCUAUCUUUUUAAGCGAUAAUUUGAUAUCUUAAAGCGCUAAGAAACAAGCUAUUGUGUCUCGAUCGACAACUGAAGCUAAAUACUGUGUCUUAACCUUAACUACAAGUGAGCUUAUUUGGUUUGUGCAUUUACUAAAGAAUAUUGGCUAUUGUGUCCCUCCUUCUACGUUGUAUAGUGACAAUAUUAGUGCCAUUCAUAUGGCCAAGAAUCCAAUGUUCCAUCACCGUAUAAAACACAUCAAAAUUGAUGUUCACUUUGUUCAUGAAUGGGUUGCGUGUGGUGUUCUCUCUUUGGUAUACAUUCCAGGAUCGGAUCAAAUUGCAGAUAUUUUUACCAAAUCCCUUUAUGCUAUAAAAUUUAUUCCAAAUCAUGGCAAGCUCUGUCUCAGUCCAGUCCCGCCUUGAGCUUGAGGGGGGAUGAUGAGAUAUAGAGAUAUGCAGAUGCUGAGAUCCUGCUGAGAUCUCUUUACUGAGAGAUCCUCUACUGGGAUCUCUAUGUCAGGAUCCUCCCUAUUUAUUCACUUCAUGGUCUCCACAAUAUUUGUAAUUCAAUAUGUUUCUAUAAUCUCUGUAGACAAAUUAUAUAUAUAUAUAUAUAUAUAGCAAGAAUCAAUCCUACAUAAAUGUCCAGUAAUGCCUAUUUAUAGGUAAUAACAAUACAUAGAAAUAUAAGUUCACCAUUUCCUAUAAGCAUCAUCUUUUUAUUUUUCAAUAAUAAUGUGCUAUAAAUAAUUGGUAGGUUGAGAGACCUUUUGAGAAGGAGCCCUUAUAGAUUAUGAUGCUAAAAAAUAAGAAACUAUAUUAGAAGACAAGUUAUCCAAUAAGGUAUAAUGAAUAACUAAAGUAUAAAGAUUUCUCACCAAAAGUUUGUUUUGCUCAAUUUUCUAGCUGAUCUACUAGCUAAAUUUUUAGUAAGCCUUCUCUUACCAUCUUUUGUAAAAGGUUCUUCAUCAUAUAAAAGUUUCUUAGCCAUCUUUUUUAAAGAAAGGUUUAAGAUGACAUAUUAUAGCUUUCUUGUACAAUAGAAAAAACCUUAAUUAAUUUCCUAAUAUUAGCAUAAAGUCUCUCACACUAUAGAAUCCAAAAUUAUGUUUUGUUAACUAUGUUACAUUUUUCACUUCCUUUAGCAUUUUGAAAAUUAUUAUCUAGAUUAGAACUAUUAAUGGUAUAUUACAUUAGAAAUGGAACACAUUAUACAAACUUCGAUUGUCUUGCCACGAAAUAGAGGUUAUAGGGCUCAUAAGAACAAUAGUUUCCUUUAUAAUAAAUCUAUCACUAAACUAAAUUGUAGAUCCUUUUAGGUUAGAAUAAUUUUUCACACUACAAUGUUCUCCUCUCCCUUACAAUUUAUACUUUGAUGUUUAAGAAUCAAUAGUCAUCUAGGGCAUGUUCUCAUAGACAUUAAAAUGAUCAUGGAUCGGUUAUUCCUCCUUGUCAUGGAUAGAAAAAUAUCUAGGUAUCUCUUGAAAGGAAAGUUGUGGAAAUGGAUCAUUUUGUCCUCUACAAAUUAAUAGGGAGUCCAAAUUUGACUACACGACACUAGAUUCAUGGAAAUUUAUAGUUUCCCAUGCUUAAAUCCACCAUAAAAUUCAAUAAAAGUUUCCUUUUAUCAUGAAAGGGUGGUUGGUCUUCACCUCUCACUUGGCAUUCCUCUAAUACCAUAUAUAUAUGUGUGUGUGUGUGUGUGUGUGUGUGUGUGUGUGUGUGUGUGAUUUAACAUAAAAGGUCUUAGGAUAAUUUACAUUAUCAAAAAAUAGUAAUAAAUAACCCGACAAGACUAAGGUUGAAUCACAGGGAGGUGAACUAUAUAAAAUUAUAAACAACAAAUGAAAAGGAGUUGAAGAGAACUUUUGAAAUGUGAUAUUGAUGUGAGUAUUAAUCAAAGAUAAAAGCAAUUGUCAAGGUUAGAGGAUCAACUAAUAGUAUUAGAAAUAAGUAUAGUAUAAACUUUUUUUAUUAAUCAACUGGAAACCACACACAAAGAAGGUUCAAAUCAGAUGAUUUAUCCUUAAUAGUUCAUUAUAAAUUUUUAACAUGAUCAUAUUGAUUAUCUUAUUUUAGUAACACCAUACUUUUAAAUAUUGUCAGGAAUUCAUGAUGUUAACUUAUGUUAACAACAAAUCAAGUUCCUUUCAUAGCACAGGUGUCGAUUAUACCAUAUAGUAGGCUAUGAAAGUGUCAAGUAUUUGUUGUACCAAGGGUUGUACAAUACAAAUCUAGAUUAAUUAUUUAACAAGUAAGGUAUUAAGAAUUAGUAAGAUAAAAAGAUAAGACAUGUUAAUAACAAACUUUCUUGGAUAUAAACAUUGAAGUCCAUGUUGAGUUUAUAUUAUAUCUAUUCUAACACCAUUAGUGAAAUCUUUUCACCUUGACAUAAUAAACUUAGCUAAACAUUGUGAAGAAGAGAAAACAUAAAUAAACUAGAUAAGAACAUAGUUAUGAUGAAAAGUAUAAACAAGAGAUUAUUAAAAGCAAAACUUAAACAUUACAAAAAUACAAAGAAAGAAAGCAAGAAGAUGAUCUUGAUCUGAAAACCAAGAGGCCUAAAUGCAUGAAAAAUGCCUCCUUUUAUAGGCCAAAAUUCAAAACUAUUGAUUUGAUGACUAAUUGUUGAGUGGGUGGCCACCUCUUCACUUGGUAACAAUCCUUAUCUUCUUGUCUGCAGAAAACGUCAUUGCUAACAUCAUAAUUUGAACAAAUAGUCUCAUGAAAGUUCUCGAAAAUUGUCUCAGCUUUCCAACAAAACAAGAAUGAGGUCAUGUGGACUUCUAGAACUCGAGAUAUGGGCUGAACACUGAACAAUGUCUGGGCUGCAGGAUAGAUUCUGACUUCUCUGUUGUUGCUAUAAUUUGAACUUGAAAAUGGUCCUUUUGAAUCUUGGACUCUCAUGAAAGUUUUAGGCCUAUGUCUUAGCUUUAUAUCCAUAUAAACCAGACCUAAAUCCAAGUUCUACAACUCUAGUUAUGAUCCAAUAACCGAAUGGUGUUUCAAUUUGAAUUCAACCAACAUCUCUUUUCUAAGCUUAGCCCUCUCUUUGUCUUCUUAAUUUCAGUAGUUAAACUCAUCAAUCAAUCCUUUGAUUUAUGUGAUAGGUCUGCAUUUAAAAUGAAUAUUUACCAUAAAUUAAAUGUAUCUUAUAUUAUCAGACUUGUUAUUAUAAAACAUGCUCUAGUUAAGGAGUUAUUGAUACUUCAAAUGCAAAAUGAUGAUAUAAAACCUUGAUAAAAAUACACUUUUAAGUACUAAUCAACAAUGGUCCUACCAUUAUCCAAGGUCACAACUAUAUUUAACUAGGCCUUAUUUAAUUUAUAAGACCUGGAAAAAAUUAAAUAUCUAUAUACCCAAAAGAGAAAGGAAAAAAAAAAGCCACAUGUUCUAUCUAGAAGGAAAAUUUGGUUCCUUUCUUCUCCUUUUUAAAAAUAACACUAUAUUUAGGAGUACUUACCAAUAAGUCUUCAAAUUGACCUAUAAUAAAUUAUAUGGAUGCACAAAGCUAACCUUUUGAGUAUAGGCUCCUAUCAAAGCCAAAUCAUAUAGAAAUAUAUAUAAUUUGCAUCCUAUACCUAAAUACAAAGAUGUUAUUUGAUUUGACUAAAAAAUGAUAAAGUUGUCACAUUUCCUUGCUAGGCUUAGUGGUAAUCCUAUAUAGUUGGAUUACGUCAAAGAUCUAUUAGCAUUUUCAUUCUUCAUCAAAGUGUGGUUUUAUUCUCUCUAUAUAUUGAGGUUCACUUGAUUUUUCUAGAGUGAAAGCCUUUCUCUAUAUAUCUAAGGCAAACAAGUUAUAUCUUUUUUAUAGAAUUUCUUCUUAAUAUUGUCCAAAGACAUUCUUGAAUCAAUAUUUUUAGGGAAAUGCUGAUUAUAGAUCAGUGUAAAUUAGUGAUACAAUCUAUGUAAUGCUAGAAGUGGGUGAUAAGAGAAGGGUUUUAUUUUGCAGAGCUUGAAGAUGUCAUUUAUGUGUUUAAAGAGAGAAGUAAGGUUAAGGUUUAUCCUCUUUUUUAGAAAUCUUUGGUUUCUUCAGAUAAGGAUUGGGAGCUUUUUAAAUAAAAUGAAAGGAUAGGAUGUUAAUUGAUUGAAUUGAUAAAUUAACUAUAAAUCAAAAUUAUAGUUAUUGUAACGGUAAUAUCAUGCCAAAAAGCUAGAAAACAUUUUAUUUUGAAAUUUCUUAAAUGUCUAACAUGUUAGACAAUGAAAUAUGGUGGAUAUUUUGGAAAAACAAUUCUUGAUUUUCCAUGUCAUUCAUGGUUAAUUUUAUGAUUGAUUGAAAUAUAAAAGGUAAAUCAAUAUUCUUUCAUUUAUAUUAAAUAAAGAAAUAUGGAUGCAUUAUUUAUGUCAAAGUUAAACCAUUCAUGUAUCAUGUGAUUAAGAACAAUAUAAUUUAUUGUUAGUUUUUAAGAAAAAUAACGAAGAAAAAUAAAAUUAAAUAUCAACCAAUAAAGAAGGUUAAGUUCGAAAAUCAUCUAAGAGAUUAAGUUUCACAUUAAGUGAUUGAUUAAUCCUAUAUAAAAAAGAACUUAACUUAUGGAUAUUAUAAAUUGAUAUAAGCAUAUGUUAUUAUAAAGAUGUCUGCCAGAAAAAUAGUAAAUAAGUGCAAGUUAUGCUAGGAUUAAUAUUGUACAAUCUUUAUAUGUUAUAAAUUGUUUGUUUAAGAUUAAGAUUUUAUAUUUAUGUGAGAUUUUAUCUCAAUAAAAAUAUAAAUAUAUCAUUUAAUAGCUUAAAAUAAUGGUUAGUGUUAUAUACAUAAUUUAUUAUGCAAUUUACUCAUAAUUUUAUGCUAUUUAUUGCUUUCUUUUAUGUAUGACAAUAUAUUUCUUUUCCUUAUACAUUUUACUAGUCAUAUUACACGUGCUUGAAUUCAGGUCGAAUCAAAAGUUAAUUUUUAACAUAAAUGAAUGUUCAAGCGUUUUAAGUGUGUUUUUUAGAAUAUACAAAUAGAAAAGACCAUAAACCAAAAGAAAAUGACCACACAUGCAAAGUUGCAAAUAUAAUCCACGGUGAACUAGAAGGAGGUGAGCAGUGGAGCACGUUAUAGUGAAAUCAUCGGAUCUUUUAGUAUUUCCUGCAAUUAUAAUUUACGAAUUCAAGAUAUAGUGAAAUCAAAGCUUGUUUUUCUUUUUCUUUUUUUUCUUAACAUAUUGAAGUCAAGUUACGAAUUCUUUGAUCAAGAUUAAGUGUCUAAUUAUAAUUUUUCGUUGUUGGAUAAUCAAUGAUCACUUUAUUUAUUAGAUCAACAAAUGAAAAUAAUUAAAUAAGGCAUUUAAAUGAGAAAAAAUGGAUUGACAUUACUCUUUAUUUAUUAAAUCAUAUACUUUACCAUCAAAGAAUAAUAAUAUCUUACAACCAUGAAACAGGCAGUCAAUUCACCAUUACAUCUUACGUGUCCUCUAAGGAAUUUGUUUUUUUCACAAUACGUAGGGAAUUAAGGAAGAAAAUGCCUACAAUGCUACAUCAAAAAGAAAGCUUCACAGCCGUCCAAUAAAUAAACACAAAUGAGAGGGGAAAGAACACAAAAGAUUAGCUUUGAACAGUCGUUCAACAAAAAGCUCCAAGGUGCUUCAUCUUUGACCAAAGAGAUUGGAAAUGACAGCACAUAAUGAUCUUGAAUAGAGUGAUCAUGUUAAAGUUUUAAAGCAGCAGAAGAAUGGUGAUGAGCAUAGCCAAAUUGGGCAGGAAGAUGCACGCACCAAUCUUGGGCAGCCCAUUUGGAGCUCCUGGUGGUACUGCUGUAGCUCCACCACCUGGAACUGGGGGGGGACUUGCUGUAUGAGAGGGCAAGGGUCCCUCCACAACAUCAGGUGCAGUUAACACUGGGUUUGGAGGCUCAGCUGGGGGCAAGGCAAAAGGUGAGAUUAGCUGCAUGAGACCGCCAGGCUGAGCAGGGCUCAUGUAAGAAGGUAAUUCCUUGCCCAAGCAUCGGUUCCCUGCAAUAAAAUGGAGCAAUGUGUUACUAAAUGGCAAACAGAUAUCACUACAUGUCUGGUGGAUAUAUUUAUUAUGGAAUUUCCAUAAAAUCUGAAAUGAGACUAACACAAAUAAUGGCAGUUAAAUAUACUCUCAAGUCAUAUUGUAUGAUCCUAACCUGAUUUCUACAUCUAACAUGUAAUAUGCGAAUCUAUUUUUCUCAGCCUAGUACAGCAUGAAAUUAAACUGACAUUUUCAUGAGAACAAGAUCAUCUAAGGAAUAAUUUGUCCAGAACAUACAACAUCGUCCAGGAUUCACUCUGUAUUGUUGCAUGUAAACUAGAAACAUCAGUGACUUACUCUUGUAUCUGGCAGAAGUCAGAGGGAAUUCUGUGAUAACACCGCUGAUGUUGGCUCCCAUGACGUAGGAGUUAAUUUCAACUGUUGAAUCUGAGAAGAAGUCCCAUGCCUGAGAUACAAACUCAUUGCUGAAAGUUUCCACAUAAACUGAGAGCCCAUGCGAUUGCAGCUUUGGCACAACAUUUGUAACACCACUGAGGAAUGAAGAACUUUCAGGAAAGACAGAAGCCUUGCUGAUGACCACCGAACUAGCAAAGUCUUUGAUGUCCUUCAGUGCUGCAUCUUCAGCAUCUUGAAUAUCCUCUUCAAUCCGGUACACAAGCUCAUAAUUGCUUUCGUCCCUAAAUUUCAUUAGAACUGAGCUGUUGGUGGACUCAAUCAUAACUUUCUUGGAAGUUGGAUCAUCAUAACCAGCUAAGCUCAAGACUUCAAGUACUUUGUCAGUAACGGGUAAUCCCUCUUUCUCUAUAAGAUAGGCUGCAUUCUGAAAUGAACAGAACAGACAACAAACAUCAGUCAGGGUGGGAACAACCUUCAUUUUUUCAAUGUGGACAAAAAUAAUAAUCACAUAUUCUUCUUCUUUUUGGCUGCUGUUGAAGACCUUAUUCUAUUAUUCUAUGAGAGAAAUCCUCAGGCGUGCAAUUAUAGCUCAAAGGUCUGUACUAAGCAUGUGAGCUACUCAUGAGACUAGAAGGAUGGCAGGAAGUUACGCCAAAGGAUGCGGUUAAUACAACCACAGGAACCAAUGUCAUCUUUAUUGCUACUAAAGAAAUGAAAAUGCAGAUUGCUAGCAGAUGAGAUAACUGAUAUGAGCAACCAUUGAAUAUGAUGGUCCAUUAAGUUUCAUCACCCAUGGAAACUAACACCACGUGUGAAAUGGUUUCCAAGUUGGGGAAGAAACAUAGAAGAGAUAAUAUGUUCCACUGACAGAACUAACCAAUUAAGCACUGCUUUGUUUACUAAUAAGGUGUAGUGUGAUGAUAAAUUUGAUUUUGAUAACAUGCUUUCCAUCCAACAGGAAAAAUGUAAAAUUUCCACAAACAAUCAAAGGAAUAUUAAGUGCAAGCAGUUUAUGCAAGUUCAAAUCAGAUGAUUCAAACGAAGGAUCAUGUACAAGUAAUGUGAGCUUAGCAAAAACCCACCUCAAUGCUAAUCAAGACACCAGAAAGCGAGCUAGUGUUCUUCGCCAAUGCUAAGAAAUCAGACAAUGUUAGAAAAUUCCCUGAAUUUCUGAAUUUGGGAUUCCGCAACAAGUAAUAUUUUGAAUAUGGAUUGGACAUCACCGCUACAAUGCAAAAAGAAAAAGAUCAAUACAAAAUCAUUAUCUUCAAUGAAAACAUUUGGACAAUCAUACAUCCACAAAUAAACAUAAAAUGGAAUUCAAACAACAACUAGAUUACAAAGCAGAAUUUAGAGUUGGGCAGGAGUCAAAAAAAAAAAGUGCAGAGGAAUAUUUCUGUUCCUUUUCUCACAAAAUUCUACCUUUCAAAAUGUAAAGAGAGCAAAAUCAAAAGAAUGGUGCCAGGCAAAGGACAUUUGCGUUUAGUAUUGUUCCAAGAAUUGUAAUCUCUGUAAUUCUUUUCAUGUAUUUAUUCUCAAAUCUCAAGUGGUGAGAAUAGCUGGUUAUGAGAUCUUGUCUUGUGACUCCCACGACCAAGACAUUAUUCCUUUGAGCCCUAGAUGGAUGUGUUUUUUUGGCUGGCCACUCUUUAUUUCUCUUCCUCAAUGUCCUAAAUUAUUUUAACUUUGCGAUCCAGUACUGAGCAUUCUAUUUUAACAGAAUGUGAGGAUUGAGUAAUGCCCCUCCACGUAAUUGUUUGUUCAUAGGCCAAGAUUUUUUCCCCCACUAAAAGGAAAAAAAAUUUAUAAAAAAAAUCAUGUUUUAUUGGGAAGGGGGUGCAACAGAAGAUUGAAAAAGCAAAAGAAGUAAAAGCCAACCAGUUUGAACUUACGAAUUAAGUUCUGAAUCUCACUCCAUGUUAAGCUAAAGGUGAAUAUCCCACUGCCUGCCUUAAUCUGUGGAAUAUUCUGUUCACGAUUGCUGUAAAUUGAUUGGGCAACUGUUGUACUGUCAUAAAGAUUUAUAGAGCCUAAGCAAAAUGGUAUCCCGUCUUUUGAUAUUUGAACAGGACAAUCAAUAACAUCAGCACCAUCUAAAAUAGCUUUCUGGUAAGCCAAAUCAGUGCAACCAGGGUAGUCUCCACUUGCACCAUUUUUUGAGAUGACCGAAAGGUUCACUGAAACAUGAGAAAAGGAGGACAGAAGAGCUAAGUACUAAUGUUCAAAAAAUGCAAUAUCCUUUGAAGUUAAAUCUCAUAUAAAAAGAAUCAGAAAAUAAUUUUGCACCUUGAGGUGUAGCAUUCUUGCCUAGACCAGAAAAACAAGCUGCAAUACAGAAGGAGAAAUCAGAAUCUCAAAAUAUUUAUUCUCCAUAUUAGGAGAAAUAUCCAGACAGGCAUUAUAAUCUUUAACUCCAACCGAAAGAUUACAGCUAGGAUAAGAAGAGAAAUUGUCUCAAUGGUUCUGAGUCAAUGAUAACAGCAGUCACAGUACUAAACCUUUUAAGUUCGAACAAAAUUUGAAUCAUGCAGUGAUAAGGAAUCAAGUAUCAAGCAUGUUCUGACAUGAGAAGCUAGUAGUAGCAACAGUUGAAAGUUGAUGGUAGGCAGGCUAACAACUGCUCCCAUAAAGAAAUUACUGCUAAAUGUCCAGUUAUUUAAGUUGAAAAAUACUAGAUUGAACCAAUAGUUCACGGUUUGUUCAGAUCCAUGAUGCUUAAAGAGAAGGAUUACAGCUUACCAAUAGUCGCAGAUGGAGUUACUGGAAAGUCAGAGAGCACACCAUCAACAGAGAAGUCACCAUUGUCAACAAAACUGAGAUACUCAGUUACAGGAUCAUAACUGUAAUUGUAACUCAGUUGGGCGUCAUUAUAAAAAUCUGAUACAAAAACCUCUAGCCCUGCCUUGUGUGCAUCCGAGACGAUAGAAGUCUGAGGUUGUAAGUAAUUACUUGCAUCUAAAGGCCAUAUGUAUGACUUAGGGAUAAGAAUUCCAGAUGCAAAUGUCUUGAUGAAAGUAAAGUUCUUUGAGAGAGAACCAUAUGUCUCAUUUGUUGAUGGCUCGAUGACAUUUGGUUCCAGAAACCGAAAGACCAGUUUUGUUAUAUUUAGGUUAAAUCUCUUAACAAUACUUCUCAAGAAACCCGCUUCUGGUGAUGAAAGAUGAUUAAUGACAACCCUUCUGGAUAGAGACAGUACGUAGAUUCUCAUACUCAAAUUGUGCUGUGUGAAGAAUGCAUCAUGCUGCAAAAGUAUCAG
rnacentral:lncRNA from 1 species